AUCUUGCACUACUUCUUUGAAUUAUUCUAUGCUCUGGCUGGUGUCACCUUUGAUGGUAACGGCUUACAAAUACUCAAAUGAAAGAGAAAGAAAAAGCACAUGAGAAAAGUGAAAAGAAUACUGCAAGAGGCAAAAAUUGUAUGAAGAAGAGGAAGAAAGAACAAGAGAUGGCAAGUUCUGCAUUUCUGGCUAUGGCUCACCUUGCUUCUGUAAACAGAAGAAAAAUGUACCAGGCACCUGGCAAGUGGGACAACUGGGUUGGGCAGGGAGGAGUGGCAAUAGACAUGGAUGAGCAGAGAUUUUAAUAAUUAGUUCUCUCAACAUUCAUAUUUACCAGUUGGAUUUGACAUAGUAAAGUAAAUACAUAGUAAAGUAAAGUACAUAGUAAAGUAAAUAAUACUCAUUGUUAAUAAACCAGUCUCUUCACUAAAGCAUUAAACCAUGGUUUACCAAGCAAUUGAAUAGUCUACACAGCAUACUAAACCAAAACUAAGUAAACCAUAAAUAAACCAAGGGGGAGAAAUCAAUGUCUUGUUAACCUGCAACAAUGUGUAUUUGUCUCCAGAUGGCAUUACUACUCUGUGCUCAUAUGUUAAGUGCAAUGUCUUUCCACGUUGACAAGUCAAAUUAUUCUUUAUACCAACAACAGUUUUAACCAAUAUCAGAGAUGCAAGACUCAACUUGAGGUUCACCCCAGGCUUUGAAUGGCACAUCAAAGUUCACACACUGAAUGGGUGGAGACAGUAGAAGAAGAACUUCAAAGAUUGAAAAGAAUGCCUCAACAUCUGCAAAAUUCAAGAUUGUAUUUAAAAUUAGAGGUUGUUAUUAUUUCUUAUGUUCCUGCAGUGUACACGUGAGCAUGCAAAUACUCAGCAUUCUCCAAAUUCUUGAGCUUGGCAACUGGACUCCUCAUGAUUCUUGGAAUAACAUACUUCCUAUCAACAUACUUCGAAAUUAUGAAAUGUUUCCGAUGAGUCCUAUAAUGGUACAUGGGAAGACAGAAACUACAGAUGUAAAAGCUGGAAGGAGUAGCAAGUCAUAAGGCAGCUGAUGCCAGCAAGUUCUUCCCUAUGCAUUGAGUACUGGUAGAAAGAUGAGUACCAGGAAAAGAUUUUUGCUUCAAAAUGCAUCGAGUACCAAAUUCAACAAGUUUUAAAGCAGUUGAAUACCGAGAGAAAGAAGAUUAGUGCCUACAAGCCUUGUUGUAUUCCCAGAAGCAAAUGAAAGUCACCUGAAGAUACUGGAUUUCAUGGCCUUUUAAUCUGAUCCAGCAGGGAACUUCUUAAAGUAACCACAAUUGCUGCAAUCUCAGUUGCUUUUAUUUUUAUUUUUCAAUUUACUUUUAAAUUGCCAAACUUCACACUGAUUUGUUCAACUGAUAUUCUGAAGGUUUUAAACUUUGUUUGAUGGCAUUGUGAUAAUUCUGUCCCUCCUCUCCCAAUCCCCUUCUCAUGAUCAUAAAAAAUUGA